CAAGCAGUGUCUUUCUAAUUGUAGAGUUGAUCAGCCAAUCAACUUGCAUCAUGAUCGAUUAGACCUUAUUAGGAAUAUGGCCUACCUUAACCCAAAAGCUAACUCAAGAGUUAAGGAUUGUUACAUCCUUUAUAUAAUGCCCAAAUAUCUUAAUCCCAAUUGUUGUGGAACAUAUUCUAAUAGGCCUCCUCGAAAUGUGGGUGAGAAACGGUCCAAUGGGAAACAGCCUAAGCCCAACAU